rnacentral:rRNA from 1 species
AGGACGAACGCUGGCGGCGUGCCUAACACAUGCAAGUCGAACGGGGCCCGCAAGGGUUCAGUGGCGAACGGGUGCGUAACACGUGAAGAAUUUGUCCAACGGCGGGGGAUAGCCGGCCCAACGGCCGGGUAAUACCGCGUACGACCUUCGGGGGGCAUCCUCUGAUGGUGAAAGCCGCAAGGCGCCGAUGGAGAACUUCGCGGCCUAUCAGCUAGUUGGUGAGGUCAUGGCUCACCAAGGCGACGACGGGUAGCUGGUCCGAGAGGAUGACCAGCCACAUUGGGACUGAGACACGGCCCAGACUCCUACGGGAGGCAGCAGUGGGGAAUAUUGCGCAAUGGGCGAAAGCCUGACGCAGCGACGCCGCGUGUGGGAUGACGGCCUUCGGUUGUAACCACUGUCGCGAGGGACCGAAGAUCUGACGGUAACCUCGAAAGGAACGCACCGGCUAACUCUGUGCCAGCAGCCGC